GGAGUUGCUGACUGUGGAGAGGGCACACAGUCGGUUGUUGCUGUUCCAGUUGACACACCUGCCCCACAAGUCAACUCAGACACAGCCCCUGCCAUCAGGUCACCAGGAACUCUUGUGUGUAGGGGCAGCGGCCCUACCACUAAGACCUUUGUGCUUCGGUCUGUGUUGAAAAAGCCUGGCAGGCUGUUUGCAGAGAACAUAAAGGAAUACAACCUUUGUGAUGACGGGGCUCAUCUAAUCCCAGACCCUUCGAACUGUUGCAAAGAACAAAGAGCAGGUAGGGAAAACUGUAAAACACCAGACUUUGUGAAUCUGAAGAAGAGGAAAAGAGUUACUUUUGGAGAGGACUUAAGCCCUGAAGUGUUUGAUGAAUCUUUACCAGCCAAUACUCCAUUGUGUAAAGGAGGAACACCUGUCUGUCAAAGGAACAUAAAUGCUGCCAGUCCCCUGCAGUCUCCUGUUCAUGAGCCGUUACUUCAGCCAAAUUUUGAUGACAAUGAGGAGAAUCUUGAAAACAUAGAACCAGCUCAUGUAUCAUUUGCAAUCCUGAGUCCUAGUAAAUCUUCACUCUCUGAGACCCUUCCAGG